UUCCGGUUGAUCCCGCCGGACCUGACUGCUAUCGGAUUGAUACUAAGCCAUGCGAGUCAUUGUAGCAAUACAAGGCAGACGGCUCAGUAACGCGUAGUCAACCUAACCUAUGGACGAGAAUAACCUCGGGAAACUGAGAAUAAUGCUCGAUAGAACACUAUGCCUGGAAUGGUUUGUGUUCCAAAUGAUUUAUCGCCGUAGGAUGGGACUGCGGCCUAUCAGUUUGUUGGUGAGGUAAUGGCCCACCAAGACUAUUACAGGUACGGGCUCUGAGAGGAGUAGCCCGGAGAUGGGUACUGAGACGCGGACCCAGGCCCUAUGGGGCGCAGCAGGCGAGAAAACUUUGCAAUGUGCGAAAGCACGACAAGGUUAAUCCGAGUGAUUUGUGCUAAACGAAUCUUUUGUUAGUCCUAGAAACACUAACGAAUAAGGGGUGGGCAAGUUCUGGUGUCAGCCGCCGCGGUAAAACCAGCACCUCAAGUGGUCAGGAUGAUUAUUGGGCCUAAAGCAUCCGUAGCCGGCUCUGUAAGUUUUCGGUUAAAUCUGUACGCUUAACGUACAGGCUGCCGGGAAUACUGCAGAGCUAGGGAGUGGGAGAGGUAGACGGUACUCGGUAGGAAGGGGUAAAAUCCUUUGAUCUAUUGAUGACCACCUGUGGCGAAGGCGGUCUACCAGAACACGUCCGACGGUGAGGGAUGAAAGCUGGGGGGAGCAAACCGGAUUAGAUACCCGGGUAGUCCCAGCUGUAAACUAUGCAAACUCAGUGAUGCAUUGACUUGUGGUCAAUGCAGUGCUGCAGGGAAGCCGUUAAGUUUGCCGCCUGGGAAGUACGUACGCAAGUAUGAAACUUAAAGGAAU
rnacentral:rRNA from 1 species